rnacentral:rRNA from 1 species
UACGUAAGGGGCAAGCGUUGUCCGGAAUUAUUGGGCGUAAAGAGCGUGUAGGCGGUCCGGUAAGUCAGCUGUGAAAGUCAAGGGCUCAACCCUUGAAUGCCGGUUGAUACUGUCGGGCUAGAGUCCGGAAGAGGCGAGUGGGAUUCCCGGUGUAGCGGUGAAAUGCGCAGAUAUCGGGAGGAACACCAAUGGCGAAGGCAGCUCGCUGGGACGGUACUGACGCUGAGACGCGAAAGCGUGGGGAGCAAACAGG